UGCAGUCGAGCGGACAGAUGGGAGCUUGCUCCCUGAAGUUAGCGGCGGACGGGUGAGUAACACGUGGGCAACCUGCCCUGCAGAUGGGGAUAACUCCGGGAAACCGGGGCUAAUACCGAAUAAUAAGUACCUCCGCAUGGAGGAACUUUGAAAGACGGCUUCAGCUGUCACUGCAGGAUGGGCCCGCGGCGCAUUAACUAGUUGGUGGGGUAACGGCCUACCAAGGCGACGAUGCGUAGCCCACCUGAGAGGGUGAUCGGCCACACUGGGACUGAGACACGGCCCAGACUCCUACGGGAGGCAGCAGUAGGGAAUCUUCCACAAUGGACGAAAGUCUGAUGGAGCAACGCCCCGUGAGCGAAGAAAGUUUUCGGAUCGUAAAGCUCUGUUGUGAGGGAAGAACAAGUACGGGAGUAACUGUCCGUACCUUGACGGUACCUCAUUAGAAAGCCACGGCUAACUACGUGCCAGCAGCCGCGGUAAUACGUAAGUGGCAAGCGUUGUCCGGAAUUAUUGGGCGUAAAGCGCGCGCAGGCGGUCCUUUAAGUCUGAUGUGAAAGCCCACGGCUCAACCGUGGAGGGUCAUUGGAAACUGGGGGACUUGAGUGCAGAAGAAGAAAGCGGAAUUCCACGUGUAGCGGUGAAAUGCGUAGAGAUGUGGAGGAACACCAGUGGCGAAGCGGCUUUCUGGUCUGUAACUGACGCUGAAGCGC
rnacentral:rRNA from 1 species